CCUUCAGUGUGAUGACUGGACUCUACAGGCACAGCCCAGGUUUCAUCUCUUAUCAGCAGCUUUGACUGCCCAACAACCAGCAAUGUAUUUCCACUUCCUGUUAGACAUCUCUCCUGAUUCACUCACCAAGUAUCUGUUAUAUGCUAUUGAGUGCGUUAUAUAAUGAGGAAAAACACAUCAGUAAGACCUACAAAGAUCAUCUCUGCCUUCAACUAUCAAAGCCAAGUAAACAAAAGUGUUUCAAAUAAUGUGACCACUAUGACAAUUUCCACAUGCUUUUGUCUUCUGUGCUCAGUGAAAAGCAAUCUAGAUCAGAUGAAUCAG